GAAAAAAUUGUUAGAUUUUCGAAACGACGCGUCGUUUAGGUGCCCAGUUGUUAGCAGACUUCGGAUUUUAAAUACAUUUUUCCAACUGCUGUCAUCUUCUUCAAUAUAGCCCCUCUCUUCUCCAUCGCUGGUUGACGGAGGCAGAUGAGCUUAGUUUGAUUGGGUAUAACUGUGUUGUUUGUAACUGAAUACCGAGUAAUGGUGGCUUCUAAAUAUAUAAAUAAUGUAUAAAGCUGUGUUGAAAAUAAUUCAGAAAUCCUUUUUCCCUCUCCCUAUUCCUCAUCUUUCUUCAAUUUUUCUUCUAUUCUUUUUCCUUUAUUCUCCCAUUUUUUCUAUUUUCUAUCGUUUCCUUUGGGUUGUGGCUUUGCCACAACAUUUGGUAUUGGAGCUGCAAGAUCCUGAGUCUCAACGAUUCUGUGGACAGUUGAUUGCCGAUUCAAGAGGCAAUUAUUAUUCCUGAGCAAAGUGUGGCAUCAGACAAAAUGAGUUUAGCUGUGAGUAAGAAAGGCUUGACUUUGAAAGAGCUUCUUCAACGAACUUCCCAUCGCAAUGCAAAAGUUCGUAAAGAUGCAUUGAUGGGUAUGACAGAUUUAUUUCUUACGUAUCCGGAAGAGCUGAAAUUGAACACGCAUGAAGUUAUACAAAAACUAUGUGGACGUUUUGGAGAUGAGGAUAAAAUGGUUCGAGAAACCCUUUAUCAACUUCUCAAAUCCCUUUAUCAACUUCUCAAAUCAGUAAUUUUUCCUACCUGCAACGAGAUAUUAACAAAACAAAAAGUGAAUAUGUGAAGGCCG